GUUGCUAUGGUUUUGCUAUGACAACAGUAAACAAACCACAAAACUUAGAUCCAGCUCUCGGCUCGUUCCGAACUUAUAAAUAAUAACUGCAGGAACAAAAUGACACCAUCCAGGUCCUGCUGCCCAGUUUUGGCUGUUCCUGCAGCUUUUCUUGACAUCUGGGCAGAAGUCUGUCCAUGGAGUCUGACGUCUGUUAUGCUGCAACAGGAGGGACCUAUGAUGACUUCCCAAGAAUUACACAUUACAGACCCAAACAUCUGCCUGGAGCCACUUCUUCAACCGAACCAGGAGCAGUCUGGUGGGGAUUUGUGGAUUUCCCAGCAUGAUGGAGAAGCGAAGGGACAACAAACCUGCAUUCAGGAAGCUCCACGCAGCAGGCUGACCUCGGAGCUGAACCCAGAACAGGUUUUUAAAAAAAAAAAACAUGAGCCAAACGUAACCAAACCAGACCCAGAAAGCAUGAACCACCGCAGGACAACAAAAUUCUCGUCUCUCCUCCUGGGAGCAGGCAGUUCUCCGUCCGUCUGAUGGGGAAACGCAGCAGAUCACAGCUGGCUCUGCGCCCACAGAUAGAGCUGCUCCCCAGCGGCCUCACACUGCUGCCUCAGAUCCCGGUCCAAACCUCCCGCCCGGCCCAAAAGGUCGACCCUCCGCCCCUGGAGCCUGCAACCGUCGCCUCACCUCUGGCACAAACACCACCAGCCUCCCUCUGCCAGCUUGUUACACCCAGACAAACACGAUCCAUUGCUGCGUUUUAUUUGGAGAUGAACGUCUGAACUCCCUGUUUACUAGCUGUUUUAGGGCGUCUUGUCACUUUAAAUCCAAAUGAGCUGCUGCUGGCCACGACCCCCAAGUCAACGCUGACACUUUCACAUGAAAAUGGCAGAAGCACAAUUAUACAACCCAUACAUCUUUGAAAAGCAGAAGUGGAGCCUCCUGCACAACCAACAAGAACGCAGGAAGUGGUUUCUGGAUGCUGCUGCUGUUUUUUCUCACUGCUCUGAGCUUUGCCUCAUUUGACACAGUGAAAACUGUGUUCCCCUCCUCGCCUGUGUUCCCCUCCUCGCCUGUGUUCACCUCCUCAUGAAAUGGAAAUAAAAA